rnacentral:lncRNA from 1 species
AAAAGCAGUUGGCCUUUUUGAUGAUGGCUACAUGUUUUUUUCUAUGGAUGACUUCUUUGGGGUGUGAAGAGAGGUAGAGACUACGUCCAUGCAAGGAACCAAGAGUUCUAACCAAAGGCAGAUGUUUUGUUGUCCUGAAGAUUUCAAGGGCAUUUAUGAUACCAGUCAGAUAGAACAGGCAGCCUGAUGGAUGCACAUGGGAUAGAAGAGCAAACAGCUAUUAAUUGACUGCUGCUCUGCACAGCUUUUGGGAUCCUAGCUUCCUGACAAGGGAUCAAACCUGUGACUGCUGCAGUGGAAGCUCAGCGCUAACCAUUGGACCCCAGGAAAUUCUCCAGCUUUCUAUUUUAAUAAAUGUUUAUAAAUCAUUCUGAAGUAUGCUCA